GGUUCUCCUGGUGUCCUAGCAAGAUUUGUGCUCAGGGUGAUAAAUGCCCAUGGAAACAUGUCUGGGUUCUUAUGAAAUCUGGCCCAUUCACAGUGUAAAUAAUAUAUCCAUAUUCAUAGUAAAAUAGAACAGAAUUUUAAAUCCACAAUUUAAAGAGCAAUCAACAUUUCACAGAGGUAAUGAAGAAUGGUACAUCUUGCUCCAAUUGUCAUGAGAUUCAAAUGAAGACAUCUAAAUUAAUGAGGUUUUAGAACACUCAGCACAUGGGCCUGUAACCUCAUUUGCCCAAUUGCCCUGGGGAUACAGUUACUGUUUUCCAUGAAGAACGAGUGGUAAAUUGGGAAGCAAGAGUCUUUAUGUUGAAAGCAGAAGUUGGAGUCAGAGGCGCAAAGUCCUGUUCCAAAGAAAGCCGAGGCUCUGCUUUGCCCAUUUAAAGCUGCUCUAAAGGCAGCGCGAGAGAGGAAUGCAAGGCAACGGGAAACAGCUGUAAAGUCCUGGGAAAAAGAGGCCAAGUCAAAAUGGAAUUUCUGAUAACCACAUCAGCAUUAUCUUUCCCAGGGGCAAUUGCCAAAACUGUGUUUGUUUAUGGUUACUUGAAGAUAAAGAAGAAACUUUGGACUGAGGGAGAAGGACUCCAAGUCCCUGAGAAACGAAAGUGUUUAGGAUUCUCUUGCAAAGUUUGGAAUGCAUGUCAGACAAGCCUGCCUAGGGGGUAUUUCCUGCCUAAUUUUGCAGUCCUGUUGGGCAAUGGCCUCCAAACGCAUGGAUAUUAAAUUGCGCCAUUCAUUGGCAAGACUUCUUUCUGAGUUUUGAGGUGGGGUUGGUACUCACAAAUAAAGGUGACUGAAGGAGACUCACACACACACUACAACAUCUCCAAAAUGAAGCCAGGGUCCUCAGGGCAAGUGUCUCCAGAUCAGCCUGGUAGCUUUGGCAAAACAUCGACAGCACCUGGUUUAUGAGCUUGUAGUUCAUUCCCUUGUGAGCUGUAAAGUUUCCAGAACUUUCUGUUGUAUUAUUUUAUAGAGUUCCACAAAGAAAGAAUAACGACAAACUCAUGCUUGUGGUAUAUGGGAUUUUCCACCUUCUGGCUAUGGCUACAACCACUCACUGUUCUUUCCCCCAAGUCUGUCUAAUGAAGCAAACAUUCUAACUAGGGGCUGGUGGUUUGGCGACAUUAGUGGUGCCAUGUUGUGUGCUGUUAGCAAACCCUGUGUUCUGAGGUGCACAGAGAACACAAAUCUCUGUAACUCCCUCACUGAGCACAGAUUUUGCAGCAUCUCCACUCAGACCCACAGCAGCCAACAACUGCUUAUCAAGUACAUACCUAGCGCAUGGGGAUUAAAAUGGCCCCCUUCUUUUACUUUCGUUGAAAAAGGCAAAUAGCACCUGAUUCACUUUCAUGGAGGAUAUGUAUAGAAAGAUUGAUUCUCAUUCCUUUUGACUUUCAAAGAAAAUGAUUGCAACAAUGUGGAAAUUUAUCUUGGGUUGAGCUUCACAAAGAAGAGAGUCCAGCACUUUUAACACACUUUCCUUGAAAGUGUUCAGAAAUAAUUAGUAAUAAUUAUUCUCUUGCCUACAGGAUGCUGGACAAAAAUAGAAAAGCUCACAUGUAGACUUUUAUCAGAGAGAUUAUGGGAAGUCCUAUAGAGCUUAAGAGGAAGAGUGAUUUGUAACAGGUUUCCUGGAAAUAUGUAGAAGGUUGAUUUUGAUAGGUGGAGACUAAGAGCAGAGAAUUGGGGGUUAAAAUAACCUAGGACACAUAAAGAUAUAGACAAGUCACAGAGAAUUUUCAGCUAAGGGCAGCAGGUUGGAGGAGGACGGAGUAACAAGAAGAAGGCUCAAGAAAGAGGGAGUAACUGAGCAGGGGCUCUUCCCAGGCAUAUAUGGAAUGCUGCAAUGGUAAACAAAUGCUCCUGAAGACGAGACAGGCAGAACUCAUGGGUGGGUAAAAGGAGAAUAUUUAUUUCUCCUUUAUCUUUCUGUGCCUGGCUUCUUUCACUUGGCAGAACGUCCUCCAAUCUAUCCCUGGAGUUCUCAGUAUCCAAAUAUUCUCUUGUGCCUUCAAAGCGUGCUUUAUCUACCCAUCUGCUGGUAAAAACUCGGGUCAAUUCAUACCUCCUGAAGAGUGAUAGCGCUACAAUCUAGAUGAAAGUAAGCGUACUUUUCUGACAUACUGAUUUUAUGAGUCACAAGAUCCCCAUCUAUGAUGUAGCGUCUGCAAAACUCUACUGUACAGUUGUGAGAUAAAUCAAACAAGUCUUUAGUAGUGAUGUGCAAAUAUUGUUGAUCUCACAAAUCCCGAGAUGCCAUAAGGGACUCAGACAUUCCCUGGGCCACAGUGUGAGAAUCACUCACAUAAGAUAAGCGCUCUAAGAGUGGGGGAAAAGUCUUCCAACUUAGCCCAAGCUAGAGACAAUCUUACUAUUUCCAUAAUGAGAUGUAGCAAUGCAUGCUGCCAAAAGCCUGCUUCAUAGCUUAUCAAAUAUUCCAACAGCCAGCCAUAAGUUGAGUGCUUUCUACUUUCAUUCAUGUUCUUCAAUCUUUCCUAACACAUAGUCCCCAAUGUGAUGGAAGGGGGUGGGGUUCUUGGGAUUUAUAGGUGGCAUUGGUGGUCUUCUAAGACAGUCCAAAAAAGAUGUCUUUGUCUAUGCUUUCCCAUGAAAACACAAGGAGGGGGCGUCUUCUAUGAGCAAGGAGGUUAACACCAGACACUAAGCCCAAUAGUUCUUUCAUUUUAGACUAAAGACUGGAAGUCAUAAAUUUGAGUUGUUUAUAAGUCACCUAGCCUUCAACAUUUUUGUUACAUCAUCUUAAUUGGACAAUAGCAUAGA
rnacentral:sRNA from 1 species